GGGGAUUUAGUAUAAUUGGUAAUACACUGACUUUGCAUGUCAGGAAAAUGAGUUCAAAUCUCAUAGUCUCCA
rnacentral:tRNA from 1 species